rnacentral:rRNA from 1 species
AUUGAACGCUGGCGGCAGGCUUAACACAUGCAAGUCGAGCGGAGACGAGGUGCUUGCACCUUAUCUUAGCGGCGGACGGGUGAGUAAUGCUUAGGAAUCUGCCUAUUAGUGGGGGACAACAUUCCGAAAGGAAUGCUAAUUCCGCAUACGUCCUACGGGAGAAAGCAGGGGAUCUUCGGACCUUGCGCUAAUAGAUGAGCCUAAGUCGGAUUAGCUAGGUGGUGGGGUAAAGGCCUACCAAGGCGACGAUCUGUAGCGGGUCUGAGAGGAUGAGCCGCCACACUGGGACUGAGACACGGCCCAGACUCCUACGGGAGGCAGCAGUGGGGAAUAUUGGACAAUGGGGGGAACCCUGAUCCAGCCAUGCCGCGUGUGUGAAGAAGGCCUUAUGGUUGUAAAGCACUUUAAGCGAGGAGGAGGCUACUGAGACUAAUACUCUUGGAUAGUGGACGUUACUCGCAGAAUAAGCACCGGCUAACUCUGUGCCAGCCGCCGCCGUAAGAC